AGGUCGGAGGGAUACUUAUACCCAUAUCCUUCGCGAGCUAUCCUUGACAGCAGAGUACUCUGUAGUUGGUUAUGUUCAGUGAUGAUGUAUUUCUACAUCUCACCUACAUGCCAUACCAGUAUUUUCAUAUUAUUUGGUUAUGAGGACAACCAACACAUAUGGCACACAACGACUUACACUUAAUAUUGCUAUCAUCCUAGUAAUAGCGUAUCGUUUGAUCGCAAAUCAAUUUAAGGACUACAUGAUAAAUCUUUUUUUAUCGAUCAAAGUAGCCCUAAGGACUUCAUCACAACAUAGGAGUUCGUUAGAAG
rnacentral:lncRNA from 1 species